rnacentral:lncRNA from 1 species
UUGACUGAAAGUGUUCAAUAUUUUUAUUUUUUAUUUAUAUAUCUAUUUUGGCUUUUCAGCAUGUCUAUUAUUUUUAUGUCUCCUCUAGUCUUGUCUACUGUCCUAAAAUCAAGUGAAGUCUGAUAAUACCCCACUGUCCCCACCAAAAGCAAACAAACACAAAAAUAAACAGAACUCAACUAAACCUCCCUAUUCAAACUAGUGGAGAUCUUCAUGGCCAAAGAAUACCCCAGAUUACUAAAGGCAUCUCAGAACAGUCAUUUUGCAGGCUUUCAGUUUCUGCUUUCCUUUUUUGCCUGCAAUUUUGCACAAUCAAAUGCACAAAAACAAUGGGAAAGGGGAUUACGUCAAAUGUACGAAAGAAAUGGCAGGAAUCCAGUGGGAAAGACAUGCCCUCCACAUUUGGCAGGAGGCGUGCUGGGAGGCAGUGGCUUUGCAGAGUGAUGAGUCACACUUGAACAGAGGCUCUGGAAGGAAUUAGUUCAAGAGAAGGCUGGAGAGCUCCCUGAAAUGUAUGAGUGCCUCAGGCCAUUAGCAAUGUGUGUGUGAUCACAAUGAGACAAAGGAAACCCUGAGAUCCGCAGACUUUCUUUCAGGAACCAGCAGAGUGUCCCUAGCUGCUCUUUCCUCCCUGGUGGGUGUAAAACCACAGCCCUUCUGUUUUAGUGGGAAAACGUUUCAAGAGGACCACUUUUUAGAAAACUUUGUCUGGGCCAAAGAAUGCAAUAUGAGUGUAAAAUACGUAAAUAGAUAAAGCAAGCCAUGACUCUGAAGGAGAGAUUUGAUCUGCUCAAAGGUCAAUUGGGCCACAAAAUUAAUGAGCUUGAGAAAGACAGGACAAGAGAUGGGAGAGAAGAAAUCUGUGUGUUGAACUCUGCAUCAAUUAACAAAAGCAAAGUUGGCCAUGCAGAAAUCUAAUAAUGUCAAACCAUUGCCCUCAAGGAUGUGAUAAUAAUGACUUCUGCUUGGAGAUGGCAACCAGUUAAUGCAGUAUACUCAGGAGGGCUUUUGAAAGACUGCAAUACAAUUUCCCCAUUUUACAGAUAAAGAAACUGAGGUAUAUUUGAAAAUGGAAGAAAUAACAAUUUUAAUGGUCAGAUGCCAAAAUAUUAAGGUAAAUAAGAGCUGACAUCUGCUAUGCAUCAUAUCCUGUGCGAGAUGCUAGGCUUUUUAAAUGUGUUAAUUCUAAUUAUUCCAUUAAUUUUGUAAAUUAAACGGGACUGUUUCCAUUUGUUGCUAGGUGACAGGGCUGGGAUUUGACACCAAGCCUGUCUCCUUCCAAAGUCUGUUCUUUAUGAUAUCACACAAUGCUGCCUCUCCAUUGAAAAGAUAAGUUUAUUAUGUUUUUAAGUAGUAGAUUGCUUCUUAAAGCAUUUUAUUAACUAUUGUUUUAUCCUCAAAGAAUCUUUUCAGUUUAAUAGGUAUUGUUAACUUUUUGUUAUAGAAAAAGAAACUGAGGUAAAUGAAGACCCACUGACUUGCUUACAAAGGUUAAUCACGUUAUGGGAAAUAAAAUUCAGGUCUUUUGUGUUGAAAGACUGUGCCAUUUA